UGCCAUGUCAAGUCAUUAGACGGCCUGAGU
rnacentral:piRNA from 1 species